rnacentral:rRNA from 1 species
UACAGAGGGGGCAAGCGUUGUUCGGAAUUACUGGGCGUAAAGGGCGCGUAGGCGGCCUGCUAAGUCGAUCGUGAAAUCCCUCGGCUUAACCGGGGAACUGCGUCUGAUACUGGAUGGCUUGAGUUCGGGAGAGGGAUGCGGAAUUCCAGGUGUAGCGGUGAAAUGCGUAGAUAUCUGGAGGAACACCGGUGGCGAAGGCGGCAUCCUGGACCGAUACUGACGCUGAGGAGCGAAAGCCAGGGGAGCAAACGGG